GGCUCGGUAGCUUAGUUGGUAAAGCACUUGUCUAGCGAAUAAGGUCGUGAGUUCAAAUCUUACCAGAGCUA
rfam:Aedes albopictus isolate Foshan contig29727, whole genome shotgun sequence.